UUUAAAGAAAGAAAGAGUACAGAGAAGAGACAAGGGCAUUGCUGAAAGUCUUAUAUACACCCCAAAUUGUAGGUAUAUUGACCUGCUGGCAGUUCCCCAAACAGGUCAUGGCUCCAAUAUGCCAUAUUCUUUCACACUGAUAUAUACAUACAUACUUCUUAUUUCCAGAACAUUAUUUUUCCACCAAUAUUCAGCUCAAGCCACACCCUCCUUAGAAGGCCCUCCAUGACACCCUUGUCUGCCUCCUACACUGAGAUGCCUAUCUUCUUGCUCCCCUAACAUUCAGAACAUACCUUAUUAUGAUGUUUAUCAUAUUGUAAUGUAAUUAAUGUUUUACAUGUCUGUUUCCCUCACUAGUCUGUGAACAUCUCGGGAAAUGGUUUUAUCUUCUUAUUCUCAAAUCUAGCACAGUGCCUAACAUAUUUGGCGAAUGAACAAUGGGCUUGUUGAAUUAACUAGUAAAAUACAGGCAUGCAAGAGGAGCACAGCAACAUUUUCAGCAAUUUGAUAUAUAAGGGCCUGUACUCUUCAAAGCCAUUGCUUUACAAUUGAAUAAAUUCUACUUCAGAAACCAAUAUUGCAUUGUAUGCUCACUAACUAAAAUUUAAAUAAAAAAAAUACAAUUGACUGGAUAAUUAUCUUUGUAUACAUUCUCAGGUCUAAAAGAAAACAUUUUCUCUGUCCAGUAAUCAUAAAUGCAACAAGUAUUUCACAUUGUCAGUUGAUACAAUCCAAAGAGGAAAAUCUUACUGUUACUCCUUUUUUUUUUUUUAGAUGGGGAAACAGGCUCUUAAGUGGUUAUGUAACUUGCCUAAGAUCAUAUACUUAAUAAGCGAGGAUCUUGUUCUGGAGCCUCUCUAUAAUCAAUCACACUAUAGUGUCUCUCAAAGUUAGCCAGGUGAGACUAUUCACUUCAGUACAACAUUGUUCUGUCCGAUCCUUUCCACCUGCAACCUCCUACACACACUCACCUAUAAGAAAACAAAGGCUCAUGAUCAUACAUGUACUUUGUUAUUGUUCAGCCAAAAAAUGUGUCUGCAUAUACCUGGCUUUGCUUAAUGUAAAAAAAUACCAGCUAAUAACCAUGAAAUAACCCUUUGGGACUAUUCUCUUUUAACAUUUAGACAGAAUGUAAUGAUUUUAAUUAUUUUAUUGACCUUUGACAUUCUUUAAGAUGGGAAUUCUGUUCAUUGCUUCAGCAGCUGAGUGUGUUAAACCACACAUGCAACAAUUUUCAUGAAAGCAAAAUGUGAAGCAGUGUAUAAAGACUUCUGGAUGAGAAGUCAUGUACCACAAGCCCUCCAUUACUUCCUUAUUGGUGAUGUCUGUGAGGGUAUAGUUGGGAAGAAAGAAUUGACAAACCGGUUCCUGCCACAUUGUGAAAUAACCAUAAGGAGUGGCAUCUGGUUCCUGGAGCUAGAAGAGACCUGGAAGAAUGAACAGAUAAGAACAUGAACAUCAACGUUGACAUAACAUCGACAAGAUUCAACACAUUUGCGGACCUUUUCCUGCUAUUUACAGAUUACUGUACUUCUACUUGGUAAACACCAUAGCUGAGAAAGCAGUACCCCAGCAAAUACCUUUAAGAUCAAGUCACUUAAAAAAAACAUUGUAUGUGGGUCAUCUCUUGGACAAUUUGGGGCCAGAGAGAAGUUGUUACACUGGUUUCCUUAAAUAGCACUACAACCUAACCUGAUUCCAAGAUAAUUUCCAAAAUAUCAAUGGAAUGAGUGUUGCUGAUAAUCUGGUUAUGAAGGUUUAGCCAUCAAUAAGAGGCCCCAAGAUUCAGAAGCCCUAUGAUGUUGCCCAUGAUAUUGACCAAAAAAGAAGUUAUGCGGCUAUGGAAAAGAUUUCUGAGAAAAAAGCCGACCAAUAUUCUUUCUUAGAAAAUGAGGAUGAUUGAGGACAUGUGCAUAUUUACAUAAUUCAAAAAAACCAAUUAAAAGGUUAUAAAUCCAACUUGGCUAUAGUUUUCCCGCAAGGUGCAAGGUGAUUAUGACACUUUUUUAAAGUUCUAAUUUCGUGAGCACUUAAUAUUUGUCAAGUGCAUUAAAUGCAUUAUUCAUUUGAUACUCACAAAUAAUCUUAUGAGAAUAGGAAUCAUAAUCCUCCACAGUCAAGCUCAGAGAGGUUCAGUAAUUUGGUUAAGGUUAUAGACAGCAAGGGAGGGGCACAAGCACAUUUAGGUCUGUUUCCUCCAAAGCCUAAACUCUUAACCUUUAGCCUAUGCUGCUUGUCAACAUUGUUGACAUAAACUCUGAAAAUUCUAUCUUCAGCCCUACCUCCCCUGACCUUCUGUCUUGUACACUAGUAGAUAUAACUGCUUAUUCAAUGUCUCUAUGCGCCUAACAAGCACUUCAAAUUUAACAUGUUUCAGUAAAUGGCACCUCCAUUCACCCAGUUACUCAAGCCCCAGACCUAAUAGGCAUCCUUGAUUCCUCUAUCAACCCUACAGUCAAGCCAUCAACAAAUCUAUUUGCUUUACUUUCAAAUUAUACCUGAAACUACUUCUCAUCAUCUCUACUGUCACAACUCUGGUCCAAGCCAUUAUUAUUAUUCACCUGGACUACUGAGAUAGCCUCAGAAUUGGUCUCUGCUUUCAUAGUCCAUUCUCCACAAGGCAGCCAUGGUUCUUAUUUUCUUCUGGCCAUAGUUAUUUUUUAAAACGUGUAUUAUAUUGUGUCGUUCUUCUGUUUAAAACCUAUUAAAGUUAAAACCCAUUAAUAAUGCCUCCCUUUAGGCAGCCCAGGUGGCUCAGAGGUUUGGCGCCUGCCUUCAGCCCAGGGCCUGAUCCUGGAGAACGGGGAUAAGUCCCACGUCAGGCUCCCUGCAUGGAGCCUGCUUCUUCCUCUGUGUCUCUGCCUCUCUCUCUGUGUGUCUCUCAUGAAUAAAUAAAUAAAAUCUUAAAAAAAUAAUGCCUCCCUUUGCAAUAAUGUAAACUUCUCUUUUACCCCCUGCCUUCAUAGGCCUUCUCUGACUUUAUCAUUUAACUCUUUUUUUGCUCAGCAUGUUUGUCACAUUGAUCCUUAUGAUUUGUCUGUGAUGUAAAGUUAUCUACUUCGAGAGGAUUUGGAAAGACAGCAGUGAGGGUUUGAGAAAACUGGUGAAGGUUUGCAAGUUGUCUAGAGAGGGAGGACAAUUCAAAAAAAAAUAACAGGAUUGCUAAAUGGUGUUGAUGGUUCAGUUGUGCUGGAUGAUUGGAAUUUAAUGAUAAAAUAUGUAAUUAUGCAAAUUUAUCCAGUAGUGGUCAGCUGCUCCAGUACCAAAGGGAACUAUAAGGAUGGUAGGAUUCAUCCAAGGUAGGGUAAGAUGAAAAGAAAAAUGAGGCAGAGGAGUUGAGGGUACUGACAAGUGUUACUAAACUUCCCCCCCUACACAUGUAACAAUGGGGAUGGGGUAGAGAGAAGGGUUGCUAGUGUCCUCAGCUUACUCCAGCUGUGGCAACAACCUGGAUUUGCUAAGUAGAAACAGAAUCAAAGGACCAAGACCUACCAGCACUGAUGUUAAAAGCUUUAAAUUACAAAUCCUGAUUAUUUUAGUAAAUCUGAUUAAACAUUUACAAAAUGGACAAAUUAGUAGACGCUUAUUUACAUUUUAAAGGAAUUUUUCGACUUAAAAAAAUCAAUUUCCAAUGGGUAUCUUUCGUUUUAACAAUAAGAUUUAUCAGUGAGUUAGGGACUCAGGUUUUGUUUUUGUUUUUUUUUUUUUAAGAUUUUAUUUUUUUAUUCGUGAGAGACACACAGAGACCGGGGUGUGUCUCUGUGGGACACACCGGGGAUCCGGGGACCCCGGGGUCACGCCCUGAGCUGAAGGCAGGCGCCAAACCUCUGAGCCACCCAGGUGUCCAGGGAUUUAGAUUUUUAAAAAUGUCCAGUCUGCCCAAUCCUUGAGAGUAUCGCAAGAGAGUGCUUUCUCAGGCCUGCCUCUUCCUCCUUCAGGACACUUCUCUGGUUCUCCUGUCUUUCUUACAAAGAUUUAAGUCCACUCUUAGAAUUGCAUAAAACACUCUUACUGGGAUCCCUGGGUGGCUCAGCGUUUUAGCACCUGCCUUCGGCCCAGGGCUUGACCCUGGAGACCCAGGAUCGAGUCCCACGUCGGGCUCCCUGCAUGGAGCCUGCUCCUUCCUCUGCCUGU